GAUGAACGCUGGCGGCGUGCCUAAUACAUGCAAGUCGAGCGAACGGACGAGAAGCUUGCUUUUCUGAUGUUAGCGGCGGACGGGUGAGUCACACGUGGAUAACCUACCUAUAAGACUGGGAUAACUUCGGGAAACCGGAGCUAAUACCGGAUAAUAUUUUGCACCGCAUGGUUCAAAAGUGAAAGACGGUCUUGCUGUCACUUAUAGAUUGAUCCGCGCUGCAUUAGCUAGUUGGUAAGGUAACGGCUUACCAAGGCAACGAUGCAUAGCCGACCUGAGAGGGUGAUCGGCCACACGGGAACUGAGAAACGGUCCAGACUCCUACGGGAGGCAGCAGUAGGGAAUCUUACGCAAUGGGGGAAAGCCUGACGGAGCAACGCCGCGUGAGGGAUGAAGGUGUUCGGAUCGUAAAACUCUGUUAUUAGGGAAGAACAUGUGUGUAAGUAACUGUGCACAUCUUGACGGUACCUAAUCAGAAAGCCACGGCUAACUACGUG
rnacentral:rRNA from 1 species